rnacentral:rRNA from 1 species
AUUGAACGCCGGCGGCAGGCCUAACACAUGCAAGUCGAACGGUAACAGGAAGCAGCUUGCUGCUUCGCUGACGAGUGGCGGACGGGUGAGUAAUGUCUGGGAAACUGCCUGAUGGAGGGGGAUAACUACUGGAAACGGUAGCUAAUACCGCAUAACGUCGCAAGACCAAAGAGGGGGACCUUCGGGCCUCUUGCCAUCGGAUGUGCCCAGAUGGGAUUAGCUUGUUGGUGGGGUAACGGCUCACCAAGGCGACGAUCCCUAGCUGGUCUGAGAGGAUGACCAGCCACACCGGAACUGAGACACGGUCCAGACUCCUACGGGAGGCAGCAGUGGGGAAUAUUGCACAAUGGGCGCAAGCCUGAUGCGGCCAUGCCGCGUGUAUGAAGAAGGCCUUCGGGUUGUAAAGUACUUUCAGCGGGGAGGAAGGGAGUAAAGUUAAUACCUUUGCUCAUUGACGUUACCCGCAGAAGAAGCACCGGCUAACUCCGUGCCAGCCGCCGCAGUAA